rnacentral:rRNA from 1 species
GAUGAACGCUGGCGGCGUACCUAAUACAUGCAAGUCGAGCGAACGGACGAGAAGCUUGCUUCUCUGAUGUUAGCGGCGGACGGGUGAGUAACACGUGGAUAACCUACCUAUAAGACUGGGAUAACUUCGGGAAACCGGAGCUAAUACCGGAUAAUAUUUUGAACCGCAUGGUUCAAAAGUAAAAGACGGUCUUGCUGUCACUUAUAGAUGGAUCCGCGCUGCAUUAGCUAGUUGGUAAGGUAACGGCUUACCAAGGCAACGAUGCAUAGCCGACCUGAGAGGGUGAUCGGCCACACUGGAACUGAGACACGGUCCAGACUACUACGGGAGGCAGCAGUAGGGAAUCUUCCGCAAUGGGCGAAAGCCUGACGGAGCAACGCCGCGUGAGUGAUGAAGGUCUUCGGAUCGUAAAACUCUGUUAUUAGGGAAGAACAUAUGUGUAAGUAACUGUGCACAUCUUGACGGUACCUAAUCAGAAAGCCACGGCUAACUACGUG